CGCGUCCCCAAUAUACCAACAGCCGCUUCACUUUAGCAGCUUACCGAAAGACAACUGCUUCACUUUAUCAGCUUAGGAAAAGAAAAACCUCACUUCUGCCAGAUUUUGAGUUCUUUUUCUAUAAAUUUAAGUUCAAAUCCGUUGUCUCUGCAGCUAUCAACUGAGCUUUUUUUAUCGAUGGGUCCUCAACAAACAAGGAAACGUUCUAGCAACACAACAAAGGCUUGUGAUGACAACACCAAAUGACGCCCGUCUUACCAUGAUAUGCCCCCAGCUGUAAAACAAAAAAAAAAGCUUCUACUGCAGCGGCGUCUUAAAAAAAGAGAAGCAACAACUAAGCGUAUUCUUAAAAAUGUUGACUCUUUCAAUUCUACUGAAUCAAUAUAUGCUUGUGAUAUUGAAUGUUCUUCUUCUCCUUCAAAAAUAGGGGCACAUGUAAUCAAUCAAAAUCAUCUUGCUGCAAAUCAGGAGUUUCAAAACAACCUGCUCUUACCAUACAAGAACAAACUCGACUUCCUGAGAUAGUUGUUUGCUCUCAGUUGCCUCUGCCUACAUCGUGCCAUAAUUCAGGAAAACAAAAAGAUAUAUGCAGCCCCUUUGUGAUUAAUGAAACAGGAUCGGGAAAAUAUUAGAGAUGAAACUGGAAAACAACAAUUUUUAUCAUGGUGGAAGACCCGUAUCAGACAAUUUUCAAAACUUUCAAGAAUGGUUCGAGAUUUGUUAUCAGCUCAAGCUUCUUCAGUUGCUUCGAAGCAAGCUUUCAGCGCAGAAAGAUUUAUAAUAGGAGAUCAUCGGUAUUCGUUAGCAGGGAUAGUUUGGAGAUUUAGGAAUUAUUUAGAGAUUGGAUCAAUGCCGAACGAAGAAAUUUUGGGCUCCCCAAAUUACCACCUCAUGUUGAAGACGAAAUAGAUGAAAUUUUUAAGGAAAAUAGUGAUGAUGGAAUGGAAGCAAUGGAGGAACAAGGAAAUAGACCAAUUCCGGAGGAUUUAUCCGCCGAACAGUUAGGAAAGUUACGUCAAAAAAAUUAUAGACAAUUUAGAUAUUAAUAAGAUUUUACAAUAGAGAUCUAAUUCACACAGAACCCUUUCUAGAAGGUGGCAGCGUAGAUUAGAUUUUCAUUUAAUAUUUUUGUAAUAAAUGUACAACGUAUGAAAUUUGAAUAAAUAUAACGGUUAUUUGCCUAA